rnacentral:rRNA from 1 species
GAUGAACGCUAGCGGCAGGCUUAAUACAUGCAAGUCAAGGGGGUAGCAAUACAACCGGCGCACGGGUGAGUAACGCGUACACAACAUGCCAUAUACUGGGGUAUAGCUUUGGGAAACUGAAGGUAAUCCCCAUAACAUUGCGAGAGGGCAUCUGAUUGCAAUUAAAGUUUCGGCGGUAUAUGAUUGGUGUGCGUUUGAUUAGCUAGUUGGUAGGGUAACGGCCUACCAAGGCGACGAUCAAUAGCUGGCGUGAGAGCGCGACCAGCCACACUGGAACUGAGACACGGUCCAGACUCCUACGGGAGGCAGCAGUAGGGAAUAUUGGACAAUGGAGGAAACUCUGAUCCAGCCAUGCCGCGUGAUAGAUGAAGGCCCUCUGGGUUGUAAAUAUCUUUUAUCUUGGGAAGAAACUCCUCUAUUCUUAGAGGCCUGACGGUACCAGAGGAAUAAGCACCGGCUAACUCCGUGCCAGCAGCCGCGGUAAU